AAGCAUAUCAAUAAGCGGAGGAAAAGAAACCAACAGGGAUUGCCCUAGUAACGGCGAGUGAAGCGGCAACAGCUCAAAUUUGAAAUCUGGCUCUUUUAGAGUCCGAGUUGUAAUUUGCAGAGGGCGCUUUGGCGUUGGCAGCGGUCCAAGUUCUUUGGAACAGGACGUCACAGAGGGUGAGAAUCCCGUACGUGGUCGCUAGCCUUCACCGUGUAAAGCCCCUUCGACGAGUCGAGUUGUUUGGGAAUGCAGCUCUAAAUGGGAGGUAAAUUUCUUCUAAAGCUAAAUACUGGCCAGAGACCGAUAGCGCACAAGUAGAGUGAUCGAAAGAUGAAAAGCACUUUGGAAAGAGAGUCAAAUAGCACGUGAAAUUGUUGAAAGGGAAGCGCUUGCAGCCAGACUUGCCUGUAGUUGCUUAUCCGGGCUUUUGCCCGGUGCACUCUUCUGCAGGCAGGCCAGCAUCAGUUUGGGCGGUUGGAUAAAGGUCUCUGUCACGUACCUCUCUUCGGGGAGGCCUUAUAGGGGAGACGUCAUGCAACCAGCCUGGACUGAGGUCCGCGCAUCUGCUAGGAUGCUGGCGUAAUGGCUGUAAGCGGCCCGUCUUGAAACACGGACCAAGGAGUCUAACAUCUAUGCGAGUGUUUGGGUGUCAAGCCCAGACGCGUAAUGAAAGUGAACGGAGGUGGGAACCCUUUGGGUGCACCAUCGACCGAUCCUGAUGUCUUCGGAUGGAUUUGAGUAAGAGCAUGGCUGUUGGGACCCGAAAGAUGGUGAACUAUGCUUGAAUAGGGUGAAGCCAGAGGAAACUCUGGUGGAGGCUCGCAGCGGUUCUGACGUGCAAAUCGAUCGUCAAAUUUGGGCAUAGGGG
rnacentral:rRNA from 1 species